rnacentral:lncRNA from 10 species
GUUUACGUGACCGUUUACUCCAUGGGUCUUUAGUUCUGCAAGCACCAUCAAUUUGUUUCUUAUUUGUGUUCCUUGCACCCAGCAAGUAGCUUGGCACAGAAUAUUCCUGUAUCCCGUAUUAGAUGAGACAUGUAGCAGAGAAACAACGUAAGCCAAGGCAGAAGGAAAUUGUACCCUCCUGAAGAAAACAGUCAAGUGAGAAGAAAGGGCCAUGGAUCAAAUAAUCACACAAAUAAAGGCCAACAUUUUCUAAUUCACCUUUUCACUUGGACAUCUGCUACACAAAACAUAUGGCUCUCUCUGAGAAAAUCUGGAGUCCAGAUUUUUGCAGUUUUCUUCUCAUCAGAGUGUCUUCUAUUUGCUGUUCAGUGCUGUGCAAGUGAAUUACAGAGCCUGCAAAAAUUCAAGUGGAUGAGAUGACACAAGGACAUGAAUACUAAGAAAUGUGUCCCAUUGGGCUGUAGAAAAUUAUUUUACAGACUGAUUAUCACUGGUACAAUAAGGGAUACAACUACAAAAGUGUUUACUACUGUUUAUAUUAAGAGAAAACAGCAAAAAAGAAAGCAACCAGAGGAACCUGGCUGUUGUCUGAAUUAUGAGCUAUUUACAAAAUAUUAUUUUGCAAUAUUUCAAUAUGUUAUUACAGAUGUAUAUGUAGAUUUAAUAUUUAAAAUGUGGAGGAUUGCUCAUAUACUCAUUUCCAAAUAAAUGCUGGUAGAGUAUCAAAACAGGGUUUGUUUAUUUUUUUUUACAUUUUUCUUCGUUCACUUUGAACAUUUCUAUGUUGAGCAUGUAGUAAAAUAAAAAGAUGUAUUUGAAAGUCUGUUAUUCCUCUAUCAUUCAAAAAUAACUGGUUAAAAGCCUCCAAUUUACUACUUGUUUCAUUUUGAAGAA